GCUUGUUUUCUUAAAUAUUUUCAUAGAAAAUAGUUUGAAAGUCUAAAAAUAAAUAUUCAUAAUGAAGCUCCUUGCCAUGAUUGCUGCUGCUCUCACAGCCUUAUUGGCCUAUAAUCAUGCCGAUCCCCCACCAUUCUAUCCAUCCAUUUAAACGAUUUCUGUGCUACCAUUUUAAAUGAAAAUAAAAUAUUGCGAAAAUAAAAACUAAA